AGUGGCGGACGGGUGAGUAACGCGUGAGAAUCUGCCUUGGGGUCGGGGACAACCACUGGAAACGGUGGCUAAUACCGGAUAAGCCGAUUGGUGAAAGAUUUAUUGCCCGAAGAGGAGCUCGCGUCUGAUUAGCUAGUUGGUGAGGUAAGAGCUCACCAAGGCAGCGAUCAGUAGCUGGUCUGAGAGGACGAUCAGCCACACUGGGACUGAGACACGACCCAGACUCCUACGGGAGGCAGCAGUGGGGAAUUUUCCGCAAUGGGCGAAAGCCUGACGGAGCAAGACCGCGUGAGGGAGGAAGGCUCUUGGGUUGUAAACCUCUUUUCUCAGGGAAGAAGCUCUGACGGUACCUGAGGAAUCAGCCUCGGCUAACUCCGUGCCAGCAGCCGCGGUAAUACGGAGGAGGCAAGCGUUAUCCGGAAUUAUUGGGCGUAAAGCGUCCGCAGGUGGCGAUUCAAGUCUGCUGUCAAAGCACGGGGCUUAACUCCGUAAAGGCAGUGGAAACUGAAUAGCUAGAGUGCCGUAGGGGUAGAGGGAAUUCCCGGUGUAGCGGUGAAAUGCGUAGAGAUCGGGAAGAACAUCGGUGGCGAAAGCGCUCUACUGGACGGCAACUGACACUCAGGGACGAAAGCUAGGGGAGCGAAUGGGAUUAGAUACCCC
rnacentral:rRNA from 1 species